AUUGAACGCUGGCGGCACGCCUAACACAUGCAAGUCGAGCGGCAGCGAGGUUAGUAGCAAUACUAACUGUCGGCGAGCGGCGGACGGGUGAGGAACACGUAGGAACCUGUCCUUAAGAGGGGGACAACCAAGGGAAACUUUGGCUAAUACCGCAUAGACUCGAAAGAGGAAAGCUGCUCGCAAGGGUGGCACUUAAGGAGGGGCCUGCGUCCGAUUAGCUAGUUGGGAAGGUAAAGGCUUACCAAGGCGAUGAUCGGUAACUGGUCUGAGAGGACGACCAGUCACACGGGGACUGAGACACUGCCCAGACUCCUACGGGAGGCAGCAGUGGGGAAUAUUGGACAAUGGGGGCAACCCAGAUCCGGCGAUGCCGCGUGGGUGAAGAAGGCCUUCGGGUUGUAAAGCCCUUUAGGUUGGGAAGAAGGGUGUUGUAGGAAAUGACAACAUUUUGACGGUACCGACAGAAUAAGCACCGGCAAACUCUGUGCCAGCCGCCGCAGUAA
rnacentral:rRNA from 1 species